GAAAUGCGAUAAGUAGUGUGAAUUGCAGAAUUCAGUGAAUCAUCGAAUCUUUGAACGCACAUUGCGCCCUUUGGUAUUCCUUAGGGCAUGCCUGUUCGAGCGUCAUUUAAACCCUUCAAGCUCAGCUUGGUGUUGGGUGACUGUCCGCCGCCCCCGGGCGUGGACUCGCCCCAAAUCCAUUGGCGGCCGGUACGUAGGCUUCGAGCGCAGCAGAAACGCGAACUCGAGCCCGCGGUGUCGGCCCCCAGAAGCCAUCUCUUUUAUUUUGACCUCGGAUCAGGUAGGGAUACCCGCUGAACUUAAGC
rnacentral:misc_RNA from 1 species